rnacentral:lncRNA from 1 species
AAAGUUUAUAUAACUAAAGCGAAUGAAACAACUCCAGUAACUCAAUGUUUCACUGGACGACGAUCGAGCCAAUGUAAGAAAAACCUUCUCAUCGAAUGUCGUCCAGAAAACGAGUCCUUGCUCACUCGGAAAGUUAAAAACAGCAGGAGUCUGCUCUCGUCUUCUCUCCGCCUGCUCUCGUCUGCUCUCGCCUGCUCUCGUCUGCUCUCCGUCUGCUCUCGCUUCUCGCCUGCUCGCCUGCUCCGCUGCUCUCCGUCUUCUCUCGUUUGCUCGCCUGCUCGCUCGCUCUCGCUGCUCGCUCUGCUCCGUCUUCCUCUCCGUCUGCCUCCGUCUGCUCUCGCUUCUCGCCUGCUCUCGCCCUGCCUCGCUGCUCUCGCUCGUCUCCGUCUUCUCUCGCCUGCUCUCGCCUGCUCUCGCCUUCUAUCGUCUGCUCUCCGUCUGCCUCGCUUCGCUCGCUCUGCUCGUCUUCUCUCCGCCUGCUUCCGCUUCUAUCGCUCUGCUCUCCGCCUCUGCUCUCCGCCUCUGCUCUCCGCUGCUCUCGCUUCGUCUCGUCUGCUCUCGCUUCUUCACGUCUGCUCUCCGUCUGCUCUCCGUCUGCUCGCUCCGCUCGUCUCGCUGCUCGCUCGUCUCGUCUUCUCGCCUCUGCUCGCCUCGCUCUCGCUCUCCGCCUGCUCGUCUUCUAUCGCUCUGCUCUCCGUCUGCUCUCCGCUGCUCUCCGCUGCUCUCGCUGCUCUCGCUCUGCUCUCGCUUCUCGCUGCUCUCGUCUCUCCGUCCUGCUCUCCGUCUGCUCUCGUCUGCUCUCGUCUGCUCUCGUCUUCUCUCCGCCUGCUCUCGUCUUCUAUCGUCUGCUCUCCGUCUGCUCUCCGUCUGCUCUCCGUCUGCUCUCGGCUGCUCUCGUCUGCUCUCGCUGCUCUCGUCUUCUAUCGCUGCUCUCGCCUGCUCUCGCCUUGCUCGCUCUGCUCGCUCUGCUCUCCGCUCUGCUCUCCGCCUGCUCUCCGCUGCUCUCCGUCUGCUCUCGCUCGCUCGCUCUCGCCUGCUCUCGCUCUCGCUCUGCUCUCCGUCUGCUCUCGCUUCGCUCUCGCUCUGCUCUCGCUUCUCUCCGCCUGCUCGCCUUCUAUCGCCUUCUCUCCGCUGCUCUCCGCCUGCUCUCCGUCUGCUCGCUGCUUCUCGCUGCUCUCGCUCUGCUCUCGCCUCUGCUCUCGCUUCUCUCCGUCUGCUCUCCGCCUGCUCUCGCUCGCUCUCGCUGCUCUCGCUUCUCUCCGCCUGCUCUCGUCUUCUAUCAUCUGCUCUCCGCCUGCUCUCCGCCUGCUCUCCGCCUGCUCGCUGCUCUCGCUGCUCUCGCUUCUAUCGCUGCUCUCCGCCUGCUCUCCGCCUGCUCUCCGCCUGCUCGCUCGCUCGCUGCUCGCUGCUCGCGUUCUAUCGCCUGCUCUCCGUCUGCUCUCGCUCGUCGCUGCUCGCUUCCUCCGCCUG